UACGUAGGUGGCAAGCGUUGUCCGGAUUUACUGGGCGUAAAGAGCGCGCAGGCGGUUAUUCAAGUCGAAUGUGAAAGCCCCCGGCUUAACUGGGGAGGGUCAUUCGAUACUGUUUAACUUGAAGGCAGGAGAGGGUAGUGGAAUUCCCGGUGUAGUGGUGAAAUGCGUAGAUAUCGGGAGGAACACCAGUGGCGAAGGCGACUACCUGGCCUGUUCUUGACGCUGAGGCGCGAAAGCUAGGGGAGCGAACGGG
rnacentral:rRNA from 1 species